UACGUAGGGCGCAAGCGUUGUCCGGAAUUAUUGGGCGUAAAGAGCUCGUAGGCGGUCUGUCGCGUCUGCUGUGAAAACCUAGGGCUUAACUCUGGGCGUGCAGUGGGUACGGGCAGGCUAGAGUGCGGUAGGGGGAGACUGGGAAUUCCUGGUGUAGCGGUGAAAUGCGCAGAUAUCAGGAGGAACACCGGUGGCGAAGGCGGGUCUCUGGGCCGUAACUGGACGCUGAGGAGCGAAAGCAUGGGGAGCGAACAGG
rnacentral:rRNA from 1 species